GACGAACGCUGGCGGCGUGCUUAACACAUGCAAGUCGAACGGAAAGGUCCUGCUUUUGUGGGGUGCUCGAGUGGCGAACGGGUGAGUAACACGUGAGUAACCUGCCCUUGACUUUGGGAUAACUUCAGGAAACUGGGGCUAAUACUGGCUAGGAGCUCCUGCUGCAUGGUGGGGGUUGGAAAGAUUCGGCGGUUGGGGAUGGACUCGCGGCUUAUCAGCUUGUUGGUGGGGUAGUGGCUUACCAAGGCUUUGACGGGUAGCCGGCAUGAGAGGGUGACCGGCCACAUGAGGACUGAGAUACGGCCCAGACUCCUACGGGAGGCAGCAGUGGAAAAUAUUGCACAGUGGGCGGAAGCCUGAUGCAGCAGCGCCGCGUGCGGGAUGACGGCCUUCGGGUUGUAAACCGCUUUCGCCUGUGACGAAGCGUGAGUGACGGUAAUGGGUAAAGAAGCACCGGCUAACUACGUG
rnacentral:rRNA from 1 species